rnacentral:rRNA from 1 species
UUUUAGAGUUUGAUCCCUGGCUCAGGACGAACGCUGGCGGCGUGCUUAACACAUGCAAGUCGAACGCUGAAGCACCAGCUUGCUGGUGUGGAUGAGUGGCGAACGGGUGAGUAAUACGUGAGUAACCUGCCCUUGACUCUGGGAUAAGCCCGGGAAACUGGGUCUAAUACUGGAUGCUACAUGUCACCGCAUGGUGGUGUGUGGAAAGGGUUUACUGGUCUUGGAUGGGCUCACGGCCUAUCAGCUUGUUGGUGAGGUAAUGGCUCACCAAGGCGACGACGGGUAGCCGGCCUGAGAGGGUGACCGGCCACACUGGGACUGAGACACGGCCCAGACUCCUACGGGAGGCAGCAGUGGGGAAUAUUGCACAAUGGGCGAAAGCCUGAUGCAGCGACGCCGCGUGAGGGAUGACGGCCUUCGGGUUGUAAACCUCUUUCAGCAGGGAAGAAGCCACAAGUGACGGUACCUGCA